AGGACGAACGCUGGCGGCGUGCCUAAAACAUGCAAGUCGAACGGUGUAGCAAUACACAGUGGCGAACGGCGGAGUAAUACAUAAGAAACGUGCCCUGAAGACCGGGAUAGUCAUUGGAAACGAUGGGUAAUACCGGAUGUGGUCACCUUUUGGCAUCAAAGGGUGAUUAAAUGGUUUUUCGCUUCAGGAGCGUCUUAUGGCCUAUCAGGUAGUUGGUGGGGUAAUGGCCUACCAAGCCGACGACGGGUAGCGGGUCUGAGAGGAUGAUCCGCUCGAGUGGGACUGAGACACGGCCCACACACCUACGGGUGGCAGCAGUUGGGAAUCUUGCACAAUGGGGGAAACCCUGAUGCAGCGACGCCGCGUGGAGGAUGACGGGUCUAGGCCUGUAAACUCCUUUUAUGGGGAAAGACGUUAGGACGGUACCCCAUCGAAAGUAAGGACCGGCUAACUACGCGCCAGCAGCCGC
rnacentral:rRNA from 1 species